rnacentral:rRNA from 1 species
GACGAACGCUGGCGGCGUGCCUAAUACAUGCAAGUCGAACGCAGUGGGGACGGGUGAGUAACACGUGGGUAACCUCCCAUGAGAGGGGAUAACACUUGGAAAAAGGCACUAAACAGUUACUGGUGGAUGGACCCGCGGUGCAUUAGCUAGUUGGUGAGGUAACGGCCCACCAAGGCCACGAUGCAUAGCCGACCUGAGAGGGUGAUCGGCCACACUGGGACUGAGACACGGCCCAGACUCCUACGGGAGGCAGCAGUAGGGAAUCUUCGGCAAUGGACGAAAGUCUGACCGAGCAACGCCGCGUGAGUGAAGAAGGUCUUCGGAUCGUAAAACUCUGUUGUUAGAGAGGCGGUAUCUAACCAGAAAGCCACGGCUAACUACGUGCCAGCAGCCGCGGUAAUUC